CCUACGGGAGGCAGCAGUGAGGAAUAUUGGUCAAUGGGCGAGAGCCUGAACCAGCCAAGUCGCGUGAGGGAGUACUGCCCUAUGGGUUGUAAACCUCUUUUGUCGGGGAGCAAAAGCCGGACGUGUCCGGCUGUGAGAGUACCCGAAGAAAAAGCAUCGGCUAACUCCGUGCCAGCAGCCGCGGUAAUACGGAGGAUGCGAGCGUUAUCCGGAUUUAUUGGGUUUAAAGGGUGCGCAGGCGGAGGCACAAGUCAGCGGUAAAAUCGCGGGGCCCAACCCCGCUCCGCCGUGGAAACUGUGUCCCUUGAGGGCGCGAAGGGUAGGCGGAAGGAGUGGGGUAGCGGUGAAAGGCAGAGAGA
rnacentral:rRNA from 1 species